CUCUAAUAUUAUUUCAGAUUAUAUAUUUUACGGAAUAUAUACAGUAAAGUAUUAGAUAUUAAAGGAGUUUAUCCCUUCCUAAUAUAGGUAAACAUGAAUCAAUGAGAUUUAUAUUAGUAACUAAAAUAGUGAAUAUGUAAA
rnacentral:ncRNA from 1 species